GAAGGUAUAGUUCAGUGGUAAAGUGCGUGUUUAGCAUGCACAAAGUCCUGGGUUCAAUCCCCAGGGCCUCCA
rfam:Camelus ferus unplaced genomic scaffold scaffold2049, whole genome shotgun sequence.